rnacentral:lncRNA from 1 species
UACAUCCAUGAUCUGGAAAGGUACAGCUCCCUUCCACCCUUUGAAUUUUGAGCUGCGGAAUGCUGCCCCGGGCUACUAAGGCAGAUAAAAGAAUGAGACUCAAAUACGCAGAAGCCAAGAGAGCAGAGAAGACCAUGGUGUUCUAUCCCGGAUACACAGUGCCUGGAUGGGCUCCAGCUUCUCCCGAGUGCCAGGUGCCCAUACACCCCACCCCGGGGUUGUCCUCCCUUCCAGUGAGUUUUGGACUAAGGCGGAUAAUUGGCAAAGGACAUUCUCUUCCCGUCCUAUGGCCCCUGUGAACACGGGCAGGGGAAGAAGGGCCAGUGAUUGUCUCACCCCAAACUCCUCCCACCCACCCCUACCAAGGUUCCUCUUCUCUGACUGCAAACCUCUGGGAAGCUCUCAGGCCUCACGGAGAAGACUGGAGGGCCGGAUCUGGUUGACUCUUUCCCUAGGGUCUGAAGGAUCUGCGCCCUGUGUUCAAGGACGACGCUGAAACAUUCUUUUCUGCGUGCCUCAUCUGAGGCCUCACAACUCAGGAGCAUGAAGAGACUAUUCUCCAGUAUUCACAGUGAGAACUUGGUGGGCAUCCUGGAGGUGAAACACAAAAGUGUGAAGACCUCCUGAGACUGAGCACCCAAGAGUUUUAAACUGUCAAGCUUGUCUACACUGAGUCUCAACAAUUCAUGAAUUAUUACAUGUUUGUAUGUUGCUAAAAAUACUGGCUUCAUCUGUGGUCCUCUGAACCUGGGCUUUAGUUUCUAGAAUUGAGAAUAAAUUGUGAUUAUCUGUCUUUAACUCUCUGUCUCUUUUCAGGACAGCACUUUGCUCUGUGACUUCAAUUCUGUCAUGGAUCUGAG